rnacentral:tRNA from 1 species
GCCUGGGUGGUUCAGUCAGUUAAACGUCUGACUUCAGCUCAGGUCAUGAUCUCGUGGUUCGUGGGUUCAAGUCCCAUUUCCGGCU